CUGGGAGCACUUUAAUUUCACUCUAGACAAUACCUCUUUAAUCAUGUUCUGAGGGAAUUUAUAAAUUCCCAGUAGAUGAAAGCUAGUUUAUUUUUCAAAUGGAGAUGUAGUCACUUUGAUUUGGGGUACUGGGAGAGAAGGGUGCAAUUUUCUUAUGAAACAAACGACUCCAGAUAUAAAGCCAAGUCAGACAGAGCCACUGGGAACUUGGUUCCAAUGGUCAUUAGACCAGCAUCAGCAGCAUCACCAGAGAGAGCCAUCACCAACCAGCCUCCUGCCUUCUCCCAUCUGAAGCAGAAGCACCGUGACUCAGUGUGAAGCUUACUGAGCAGUACUCUGGAUGCUUUCUCUCUCAUUUGACUUGAGGUGAAAAGGAUGCUCACCCUAAUCUCCCUGGGGUGGGGUUGCCCUGCAUACUGAAAGCCCUCUCUGUAAGUUCUCAUUGCAGACCAGUACCACUUCUCUUCCCUAAUGCCUCUGAACUUCAACUUUCUAAUUUGUCGAACUUUCAGGAAUAUUGUAAGAAUUAUAUGAAAUUAAUAGUGUGAUAAUGCUUUGAAAACCAUAACCUGCUGGACACGUUUGAUUACUACUACAACACUAAUUAUUUUCCAUUGUAGACUCAUCUAAAAAUUCAGGUAAUUUUGAAUCAAAUACCCAAUUUUUCCCUCUAAAUUUCUAUCACUUUACUGACUUUCUUCCUUCAUUCUUGUUUUUUUCCCCUUAGAAUCCAAUUCCAUUUUAAAUGCACUAGUGGUUGAAGUAUAGAGACAUAGAUGUACAUAAAUAGCCUAUCAUUUGCAAAUCCCUGCAUAAAUUUAUGAUUUCAGGGUUUUCUAACCAAGCCAACAAAAUUAGCAUACUUAUUUGGCACAGGCAAGCUCAGCCUGGGACUAAUCAUUUUUUUCUUCUUUAUAUAACAUUGAUGUGCU
rnacentral:lncRNA from 1 species